rnacentral:rRNA from 1 species
AUGGCCCUCCGCGCGCUGGACAACACGCUGCCGGCCGCCGUGGCGGACCAGCGGCCCAAGAAGGCCGCCAAGCUGCUCCCCACGGCGCCCGCCGUCACCCGCUCCCCCACCGGCAGCGGCGGCAACGGCAAGAAGCAGCGCAACGACGAGAACUCUGCGCCGCAGACCAAGCCCGCGUCGCCCGUGGCGGCCGCGGCUGAGCCGGCCGUGGAGUACGUCCGGUCCGAGGACCUGCAGCCCGUGCCCGCGCCCAAGGCCCGCGCCGCCGGCCUCGUGGCGGGGCUCGACUCCAAGGACUGGGUCAAGGUCUGCGAGGCCCUCAACGACGCCCGCCGCCUCGCCAUCCACCACCCGGCCCUCCUCGCCCCCAUCCUGGAGAAGGUGGUGCUGGGGGUCGUGAAGACGAUGAAGAACCCGCGCAGCGCGGUGCUCAAGACCUCCGUGAUGGCCUGCACGGACGUCUUCGCGGCCUUCGGCAACCUCAUCUCCUCGGCCUCGGCCGACGCGUUCGACAAGCUGCUGCUGCAGCUGCUGCUCAAGGCGUCGCAGGACAAGCGGUUCGUGUGCGAGGAGGCCGAGAAGGCGAUGCGCGCCAUGGCCACAUCCAUGCCGCCCCUGCCCCUGUUGAAGAAGCUCAGGGCCUACGUCCACCACGCCAACCUCAGGGUCCGGGCCAAGGCCGCCGUUGCCAUGGCGCACUGCGCCGCCAGGAUGGACGUGGAGACGAUGAAGGAGUUCGGGCUGCCGGCGCUGCUGCAGGUGGCCGCGGAGCUGCUGAACGACCGGCUGCCGGAGGCGCGCGAGGCCGCCCGCAGCAUCGUCGGCUCCACGCACGCCGCCUUCUUCUUCAAGGAGGCUGCCGAAAAAGAGCAGGAGAAGAAGGAGAAUGAGCUAAAGGAGCAGGAGAAGGGGAAGAAGGAGCAAAAGGAGCAGGAGGAGGGGAAGAAGGAGAAGGAGGAAGAGGAGGAGAAGGAGAAGGAGAAGAAGGCAGAGCCGUCGGGCGUGGCGGCGGCGUGGGAGAGCCUGUGCGCGCUGAGCCUGUCGCCCAUCUCGGCGCAGGCCGUGGCCAAGAUCGUCUCGCAGUUGCAGGCACAAUAA